rnacentral:rRNA from 1 species
GAUGAACGCUGGCGGCGUGCCUAAUACAUGCAAGUCGAGCGAACAGACGAGGAGCUUGCUCCUCUGACGUUAGCGGCGGACGGGUGAGUAACACGUGGAUAACCUACCUAUAAGACUGGGAUAACUUCGGGAAACCGGAGCUAAUACCGGAUAAUAUAUUGAACCGCAUGGUUCAAUAGUGAAAGACGGUUUUGCUGUCACUUAUAGAUGGAUCCGCGCCGCAUUAGCUAGUUGGUAAGGUAACGGCUUACCAAGGCAACGAUGCGUAGCCGACCUGAGAGGGUGGUCGGCCACCCUGGACCUGAGACACGGUCCAGACUCCUACGGGAGGCAGCAGUAGGGAAUCUUCCGCAAUGGGCGAAAGCCUGACGGAGCAACGCCGCGUGAGUGAUGAAGGUCUUCGGAUCGUAAAACUCUGUUAUUAGGGAAGAACAAAUGUGUAAGUAACUAUGCACGUCUUGACGGUACCUAAUCAGAAAGCCACGGCUAACUACGUG